rnacentral:lncRNA from 1 species
AUGCUGAUAGCCUCCAUUGUCCUACCUGAUAAUAUUGGAGCUGAAAACAGUAUUGGAAUAAUCCUGCCAGUUCGGCAUUCUCAGGUGAUGCAGUUGAGAUCCAGUUGGACACAUCAGCAGAUCUCCCAGCUGACUUGGAGACCAUGAAUGCAAGGUAUUGGUUUAUUGACAUAAUUGCAAUUAAACAAUUUGAAGAGGAAAGCAUUGACUAUGAAAGAUUUUGCUGCUUUUUUCCCCCAAGUUUUUGAUUUUUUUUCCCCCCACAGUUUGGGUAGUGCAAAAAAACAUAGAUGAUAAUAUAUGUUAUUUGAGGUGUGUUCUGCCUAUGUUGAAUGUAGGCGAUUCAGAAAUGUUGGAAGACUUGUGCAAAUGAGUGAGAGUGAACUUGGUGCCCAGCUAGGGGUUUGAAAAGAUCUUGGAGGAAGAGCCACAAGUGUUACCUUCUCUGUGGCUUGCUGUUGCUGUAGCAUUCAUCCCUCCUUGCUGCUGUUAAAGUGUCCGUAUCAGGUGGCAAUAAGGAAAGCAAUGUAGUGGUUGUAUAGCACAGUACUUAAAAUGUUACUGCUGAAAACAUAAAAAUGGGCUACACACCUGCUGUUAAACCUCAAUCUCACCCUUAAACCUUUCAGCUGUUGUCAAACCUUGGGAUGAUUCAAUACUAUUUAAAAAGAAAAUAGGUUACGCAAGCAUUUUGAAAGAAAAAAAAUUCCUUCCCCACUGAGGAUGAAAACAGGAGCAUGUUUUCCAUACUGCAGUGUGCUGCAAGAUGCAAAUUGCUAAAACAAGCUUUUCACUCUGAGGCAGUACAGGGACACACACACUUUAACAAGUAAGAACUCAGGUCCCUACUUAAGAGAAAGCCAGUCAGCUCAUGAUCAUAUAAAACUAUAGAGAGCAGGACCUUCAUUUUGACCUAGAUGGCCUUGUGUAAGGAAAUAAUAUGGACAAUACCCUAAAUUCUGUCCUGGCUAAUCUGCUUUGAAAAUGUGCAUACUACAUUUUCUGAGAGUGUUUUCCUGUGCUCUCAGGAAGGAAUUGGAGUCUUAAGCUAACUUUAUUUCAUAUAUAUAUACACCUAUAUUAUCACAUAUUAUUCCAAUUUAAAAGACAAGUCUAUGUUUUCUUGUUCAUGGAAAGAAACAGCUUU